AGAGUUUGAUCCUGGCUCAGAGUUAACGCUGGCGGUGUGCAUAAUACAUGCAAGUCGAGCGGGACACAUAGCGUAGCAAUACGAAGUGUGUUUAGCGGCAGACGGGUGAGUAACACGUGAGAAAUCUGCCUUCAAGUGGAGGAUAACGCGCCGAAAGGCGCGCUAAUACUCCGUACUAUCCCUAGAGGACAUCCUCAGGGGAUGAAAGCCUUCGGGCGCUUGAAGAGGAUCUUGCGGCCUAUCAGCUAGUUGGCGGGGUAAUGGCCCACCAAGGCUACGACGGGUAACCGGACUGAAAGGUCGAACGGUCACAGGGGCACUGAGACACGGGCCCCACUCCUACGGGAGGCAGCAGUAGGGAAUUUUGGACAAUGGGGGAAACCCUGAUCCAGCAACACCGCGUGGAGGAUGAAGGCCUUCGGGUCGUAAACUCCUUUUGUCUCCGACGAAAACUCCGCAAGGGGUCUGACGGUAGGGGAUGAAUAAGCCACGGCUAACUUCGUGCCAGCAGCCGCGGUAAGACGAAGGUGGCGAGCGUUACUCGGAAUCACUAGGCGUAAAGCGCGUGUAGGUGGGUGCUUAAGUCCGUCGUGAAAUUUCCCGGCUUAACCGGGAAGGGUCGACAGAUACUGGGCAUCUUGAGUGAGGCAGGGGGUACUGGAAUUCCCGGUGUAGCGGUGAAAUGUGUAGAUAUCGGGAGGAACACCAGUGGCGAAGGCGGGUACCUGGGCCUCUACUGACACUAAGACGCGAAAGCUAGGGGAGCAAACAGGAUUAGAUACCCUGGUAGUCCUAGCUGUAAACGAUGGACACUAGGUGUGGGAGGUAUCAACCCCUUCCGUGCCGACGCUAACGCAUUAAGUGUCCCGCCUGGGGAGUACGGCCGCAAGGUUAAAACUCAAAGGAAUUGACGGGGACCCGCACAAGCGGUGGAGCAUGUGGUUUAAUUCGACACUACGCGAAAAACCUUACCUGGGCUCGAACGACUGGUGUUAGUUCUGUAGAAAUACGGAAUGACCCGCAAGGGAGCCAGCCGAGGUGCUGCAUGGUUGUCGUCAGCUCGUGUCGUGAGAUGUUGGGUUAAGUCCCGCAACGAGCGCAACCCUCGUCCCAUGUUGCUACCCCGCAAGGGGAGGACUCUUGGGAGGCUGCCGCGGAUAACGUGGAGGAAAGUGGGGAUGACGUCAAAUCAUCAUGGCCUUUAUGUCCAGGGCUACACACGUGCUACAAUGGCGCAAAACAGAAGGACGCAAGACCGCAAGGUGGAGCAAAUCCUCAAAGUGCGCCUCAGUUCAGAUCGCGGGCUGCAAUUCGUCCGCGUGAAGGUGGAAUCGCUAGUAAUCGCGCAUCAGAAAUGGCGCGGUGAAUACGUUCCCGGGUCUUGUACACACCGCCCGUCACGCCAUGGAAGCUGACUGCAACAGAAGUGGUCCGCGAGGAUCCCGAAGUUGUGGUUGGUGACUGGGGCGAAGUCGUAACAAGGUA
rnacentral:rRNA from 1 species